UACGUAGGGUGCGAGCGUUAAUCGGAAUUACUGGGCGUAAAGCGUGCGCAGGCGGUUUUGUAAGCCAGAUGUGAAAUCCCCGGGCUUAACCUGGGAAUGGCAUUUGGGACUGCAAGGCUUGUGUGCGGCAGAGGAGACUGGAAUUCCUGGUGUAGCAGUGAAAUGCGUAGAUAUGCGGAGGAACACCGAUGGCGAAGGCAAUCCCCUGGGCCUGCACUGACGCUCAUGCACGAAAGCGUGGGGAGCAAACAGG
rnacentral:rRNA from 1 species